GACGAACGCUGGCGGCGUGCCUAAUACAUGCAAGUCGAACGCUUUUUCUUUCACCGGAGCUUGCUCCACCGAAAGAAAAAGAGUGGCGAACGGGUGAGUAACACGUGGGUAACCUGCCCAUCAGAAGAGGAUAACACUUGGAAACAGGUGCUAAUACCGUAUAACACUAUUUUCCGCAUGGAAGAAAGUUGAAAGGCGCUUUUGCGUCACUGAUGGAUGGACCCGCGGUGCAUUAGCUAGUUGGUGAGGUAACGGCUCACCAAGGCAACGAUGCAUAGCCGACCUGAGAGGGUGAUCGGCCACACUGGGACUGAGACACGGCCCAGACUCCUACGGGAGGCAGCAGUAGGGAAUCUUCGGCAAUGGACGAAAGUCUGACCGAGCAACGCCGCGUGAGUGAAGAAGGUUUUCGGAUCGUAAAACUCUGUUGUUAGAGAAGAACAAGGAUGAGAGUAAAACGUUCAUCCCUUGACGGUAUCUAACCAGAAAGCCACGGCUAACUACGUGCCAGCAGCCGCGGUAA
rnacentral:rRNA from 1 species